rnacentral:misc_RNA from 1 species
AAACCAUCAAGCCCAGCUUGGUAUUGGACGCGGUCGAGUGACCCGUCCGUAACCCGUUGGCGGUGCAGUCCGGCUUCGAGCGUAGCAGAAAUUUCGCCUCGGGAGUCCGCACGGCGCCCGCCAGGAAAUGGCCACCUUUUAAA